rnacentral:misc_RNA from 1 species
GAUGAAGAACGUAGUGAAAUGCGAUAAUUAAUGUGAAUUGCAGAAUUCAGUGAAUCAUCGAAUCUUUGAACGCACAUUGCGCCCGCUAGUACUCUAGCGGGCAUGCCUGUUCGAGCGUCAUUUCAACCCUCAAGCCCUGCUUGGUGUUGGGGCCCUACGGCUGCCGUAGGCCCUGAAAGGAAGUGGCGGGCUCGCUACAACUCCGAGCGUAGUAAUUCAUUAUCUCGCUUAGGGUGUUGUGCGGUGCUCCAGCCGUUAAAGACCAUCUUUAACUCAAGGUUGACCUCGGAUCAGGUAGGAAUACCCGCUGAACUUAAGCAUAUCAAUAAGCGGAGGA